rnacentral:lncRNA from 1 species
UAACCAGACUUUCCUCUUCACUUCUUCUUCACCACAUUGACACCUUCCUGAACCAACCUCCAUCUCCAUCUCCAUCACCACAUCGACCACCGCCCUCCAUCAUCGUCCUCAACCCCAAACGCCGUCGCACCCCGCCACCCACUCCGUCGCACACAUCCGCCUCCAUCUCCAUCACCACUUCCCCGUCGCUGGUUCCGACCACCACGGCCUCACCCGUCUUCUCCAACCACACCGGAACCAUCACGCACCACCGUUCGCCCUCACCUUCGCCUCCGGUCUCCGACAUCAGUUCCAAAUAAUUUACACAACCACAAAUUCACUCAGUUUAACGAAGCUUCCAAUUCGUGAUUUUGCUUUACUGAUUCCGUUUUAUUCAGAAUGAGUUGACUUGAUGGACAGCUGACUCAAAAGCUAGAAAUAUUGAUUGUGUAUAUGUGUCGCCGGGUAGCUGAUCAAGUUUGAGAUUGACGUUACGAUACAGGAGACGCACUUCAGUGAGAAAUUAGUGGAUCGGGCGGAGUAUGCGUUGUGUCAAGGCUGCGUAGUGAAUAAAGAUGUCAUCCGAGUCGUCGAGUUUAGGAGGUGGAUCCCUUUCCUGGACGGGAUACACAAUUCUAAACUUGGGUUUUUAUUUACGUGCUUUUGAUGACUCAUUGUGAACUCUGCUAAUCAUGUCAUGGUUGUAACUUACUUUAUGUGUCAACAUUUUCAAUCAAUGUCGUUGUGGUAUUUUUAACUUAAUGAAUGGAUGAACAUCUUGUGUUU